rnacentral:rRNA from 1 species
AUUGAACGCUGGCGGCAGGCCUAACACAUGCAAGUCGAGCGGAUGAAGGGAGCUUGCUCCUGGAUUCAGCGGCGGACGGGUGAGUAAUGCCUAGGAAUCUGCCUGGUAGUGGGGGAUAACGUCCGGAAACGGGCGCUAAUACCGCAUACGUCCUGAGGGAGAAAGUGGGGGAUCUUCGGACCUCACGCUAUCAGAUGAGCCUAGGUCGGAUUAGCUAGUUGGUGGGGUAAAGGCCUACCAAGGCGACGAUCCGUAACUGGUCUGAGAGGAUGAUCAGUCACACUGGAACUGGGACAGGGUCAAGACUCCUAAGGGAGGCAGCAGUGGGGAAUAUUGGGCAGUGGGCGAAAGCCUGAUCCAGCCAUGGCGCGUGUGUGAAGAAGGUGUUCGGAUUGUAAAGCACUUUAAGUUGGGAGGAAGGGCAGUAAGUUAAUACCUUGCUGUUGUGACGUUACCAACAGAAUAAGCACCGGCUAACUUCGUG